CCCUUAGAUGUUCUGGGCUGCACGCGCGCUACACUGAUGCGCUCAACGAGUUUAUGACCUUGCCCGGAAGGGUUGGGUAAUCUUUUCAAAACGCAUCGUGAUGGGGCUUGCGGGUUGCAAUUACCCGCACCAACGAGGAAUUCCUAGUAAACGCAAGUCAUCAACUUGCAUUGAUUACGUCCCUGCCCUUUGUACACACCGCCCGUCGCUCCUACCGAUUGAGCGGUCCGGUGAAGACUCAGGAGAUGGGCGCGUGCUUGGUUCGCCAACUGCGCUGCCUGCCAAAUUUGUCUAAACCUUAUCGCUUAGAGGAAGGAGAAGUCGUAACA
rnacentral:rRNA from 1 species